GAUGAACGCUGGCGGCGUGCCUAAUACAUGCAAGUCGAGCGAAUGGAUUAAGAGCUUGCUCUUAUGAAGUUAGCGGCGGACGGGUGAGUAACACGUGGGUAACCUGCCCAUAAGACUGGGAUAACUCCGGGAAACCGGGGCUAAUACCGGAUAACAUUUUGAACCGCAUGGUUCGAAAUUGAAAGGCGGCUUCGGCUGUCACUUAUGGAUGGACCCGCGUCGCAUUAGCUAGUUGGUGAGGGAACGGCUCACCAAGGCAACGAUGCGUAGCCGACGUGAGAGGGUGAUCGGCCACACUGGGACUGGGACACGGCCCAGACCCCUUCGGUAGGCAGCAGUAGGGAAUCUGCCGCAAUGGACGAAAGUCUGACGGAGCCACGCCGCGUGAGUGAUGAAGGCUUUCGGGUCGUAAAACUCUGUUGUUAGGGAAGAACAAGUGCUAGUUGAAUAAGCUGGCACCUUGACGGUACCUAACCAGAAAGCCACGGCUAACUACGUGCCAGCAGCCGCAGUAA
rnacentral:rRNA from 1 species